UACGUAGGGGGCAAGCGUUGUCCGGAUUUAUUGGGCGUAAAGAGCGUGUAGGCGGUCAGGUAGGUCCGUUGUGAAAACUCGAGGCUCAACCUCGAGACGCCGAUGGAAACCAUCUGACUAGAGUCCGGAAGAGGAGAGUGGAAUUCCUGGUGUAGCGGUGAAAUGCGCAGAUAUCAGGAGGAACACCGAUGGCGAAGGCAGGUCUCUGGGCCACUAUUGACGCUGAGAAGCGAAAGCAUGGGGAGCGAACAGG
rnacentral:rRNA from 1 species